UACAAUUCUGUGAUUCUGUGAUUCUGUGAUUCUGAGAUCAGAACCUGCGUGAGGGCAGAGUGGCGCAGCUAAUGAGCUGCACUGAUGGCCUAUGGAGCAUCCGAGUGCCCCAGGCGUGGGCUGCUGCAAAUGGGGACGUGAAAAAGCAAUGAAGGUGGUACAGCAAAGCCUGGGGCUGGGGGAAAACAGCACCGAGACCAGGUCCUGUCCUCCCCAGCCCGCACUGUGCCUCUUGCAGCCGCUUGCUGUGCACCUGGCUCAUCCUGACUGCUGCAGGAGCGAGGAGGAAGGCUGCAGCCCAUCCUGUGCUGCUGCAGGGCUGCACCAGGCAGGUGUGCGGGGCUGUGCUGCGUUGUCUCUGGCUGCUGCAGGCUCUGAGCUGCAAGAAUAGUGCAGAGAACUCAGCGUGGCAGUGCCUCGUUUCUGCUGCAGAGCUGGAAAAAAGCCGUCACCUCACCACGAGAUCAGAGCGGGGUCAGUGGAAAAAGAUGUAUUCUUAGACUGGUACAGAAAGCUGAAAAAAAAAUGCAAAAAAGCAACGUUUGAACUCGGUGGGCCAAGGCUGUGAUGGCAGCAGCAAGGAUGGGUGGUGGCACAGCAGAGGGGUGUGAGCAUCCCAGGGCAGUGCUGGCACAUGGUGCGGAGGGAUCUCACAUCCGAAUGGCCGUACGAGGCUGUGCGAUGGACCUGCAGUGUGUGCUGUGCUAAAAGGAGCGACAUCUGGGUUUUCUCGGGCCUGCAGGGAGGAUGGAGCACCUGACAGUGGGGGUGGCAGUGAGUUCCCAUCCUGCAGGGCACGUUAUCCAUCGUCCGUUGCAGAGCGGCUGCCAAAUCAGCAGCUCCCAGCUGGCACUGCAGCACAGCGUGCACUGCAUCACCCAUUGCUUGCUGAGAACUUUCCCAGUGAGGCAGGGACGUGUGCCUGCUUUGGCAUCCUGGUGGGAGCACCAGCAGAGCUGAUGUCGCUCCCUCUGCUCUGCCCAGGUUAAUAACUGGGUGCUGGGGUUCAGCCUUGAGCUGGAAGGGUCCCUUCUGGUUGGGGUGGAGGUGCUUGCAGCCGUGCUGUCCCCUGGUGAUACGUCUUGGUGCACAAAGCUGCUGUCUGGCCCUGAGCGUGCUGCCUGCAUCAGUAUUCCAGGCACAGGCACAGCCCUGGUAACGUGCAGAGCUCGGCACUGUGCAGGAAUGCCCUUGAAAGGCAAAUUAAGCCAAACUCCCCGGUGGCUUUGAGGAGCAGCAGGGCUGCUGUCAUCUCUGCUAAGGAUGAAGUAGGUUUUGAGGUGUCUGAUUUUGCUUCUCUUCUGCUUCCCUUUCCCAAAAGAUGUGCAGACGUGCUGUGGGGCUGCUGCUAAGGGGGGUUUGUGUGCAGGUGCUGAGGUGAGAUAGGACCCCUCAGCAAGGAGCACUCGUGGCUCCUGCACGUGGUGUCCUUGCUCAUGGAAGCAUUUAGAGCGGGUUUUAUUGAAUGCAUGUGCUGAAAUCACAGCCCUGGAACACGUGUGUGUUUCAGCAGUGUCCAUGGAUUAAAGUGGGGGGGUUCUCGGGGUGUUUCUCAGGUGACUUCAGGAUAAGCUGCCUCUGAAAUGAGCUCCAGGGAUGCUCUGGGUGGUGAUUUGCUGUGCACAGUCCUCACAGAUCACGCUUCCCCUUGCUAAGCUGUUCACAAGCUGUGGUUCCCAGCCAUGCUGUGAGCACUGAUGUCUUCAUCUGGGAGUUCUCCCUAUCUGGGGGUCCUGCAGCAGUGUUCUGGCUGCAGCGGGAGCAGCCUGCAUUGUUCCUGGCUGAUCCAUGCAGAGCAUUUCCAAACAGCUGAGUGUGUUUCUGUUGGAAUCCAGGCCUGUCCCCAUUUCCCCAAACUCAGUUCCUCUCACACCUCAUUGCAGAACUCUCCCCAGACAGCAGCUGGGCUUCCUACUGAGAUCCCACUUCCUCCUUGUGGUCCUUUUUCCCCGGCACCUUCAGCUGCCGUGUGUGAGAGCUGUGCACGUGCUGCCCUCAUUGCUCCAUACACACGUGCUGUUCCAUUGCCAGCUGCUGUCCUGCUGGAGGUGCAGACGUGGAGGACCAAAGCUUUGUGAGUGCUGCACCUCUGCUUUGUCUCACUUUUCCUCCCCAAGCACCGCGUGCAUCUCUGCGGCAGGGGGACGGUGCCACUCUCUUGUCUGGGCGUUUUGGGGAGGAUUUGUGCUCUGUGUUCUCUGCACGACGGCUGUGCUGUGCUGUGAAGAAGUGAAAUUAAACGGUGGGCUUUGGUCACGCUUGGAAUUCUAAUCUGUGUGUCACUUUUGUUUCCUGUUUUCGUAGGAAUUGCUCAGAGCAUCGGUGGUCGGGAGGAAUGGAGGAGAGCACUGGGAGGAGGCCAGGCAUUGAGCUGGUGUGUGAUUGGAGCAAGGCAGUGAAAAGAAGGAGGAAUCAGCUCCCGGUAGCUCCUGAUUUUGCUGUAUUAAUUUCCCUGGGCUGCUCUGUCUUCCAGAAGAUGGGAAGUUUUAAAUUGAAAUUUGGCUUUAAAGCUCUUGCUUUAGGCACUGCCUACCACUUGCCUUGAGGACGCUCAUUCUGCAGGUGCUGCUAAGCUCAGGACUCCGGGGUUGCUCCGGGCACUGGGGCUGGAGAUGAGCUGAAGAGGUGGAUCACCCCCCGAGUGAUGCGGGUAUGGGGGUCGACGUGCUGGAAUCGGGUGACACCACACCUCCUACCAAGAGGAAAAGCAAGUUCUCGGGCUUCGGCAAGAUCUUCAAACCUUGGAAGUGGAGGAAAAAGAAAAGCAGUGAUAAAUUUAAAGAGACUUCAGAAGGUAAA